GGCGCAUUUGGCGGCAACGCGGGAACCUAAACCGCGGGAACUAUCGAUAUCUAAACGUGUAUUCAAACGAAACGAGUGCUCUUUGUGGCAGUUGCGGGAGAGUCUCGAAGGUUUUGUCGUGUUGUGGUUUAGUGGUUCAGGUUCAGCGUUACGCACAUUUUGACUUGGACUUGGCAAUCUAUGGAGCAUCAAAGCAACGAGGCAGUACCAGUACUGUCCAAUGCGUACAAUGGCGUUGAGCAAAACAGCGAAGACCGUGCUGUGGAGAGGCAGUGUUACUUUGUUCUCUGGCUUUCAAGUUUCAGGGGUACUUGCCCUAUCUUUGGAUUCGGGCUGAUGAAAACAACGAUGUCCUAUCCCGUGACGCAUCUGCUUGCAUUUCAGCUUGACUGCAACUACGUCUACCUUUGCGGGAAUGCUGGUGAGAGAUAUGGGGAGAUAGUUACAUGGUGAAGCUCUACAUCCAGACCUUUAGGGGUGCGCGUCCCAGUUGUGCAGACAUCCAAUCGCAAUGCCUGGCUGUUGUGACAUCACUUCCGACGCGUAAAUUCUGCCACCCGGCCAGUGCAGGUCAUCAAGGCGAUGCUAGCAGCAUGAAUCUUCCCCGGCUGUUCAUGUAAGAUAUUUGUGGAUCUGAGAACAGUUCCAGCCUCCACCAACAGCCGUGGACCACCUCACACAUACUCAAAGUACUUGGUGCCUUUAGAACUGUCAAGACUGGGCACGAAACAGAAGACAAAGUCAUUGCUUGCAGGUUCCAGUGAUACAAGAACUGGGAUUUGUGUACAUGCAAGGUUCUCAGGGAUGUGCAUAAGGCGCUGAAGCAAAAGCGGCCGGGCCUCAUCACCAAAGGAGUCCUCCUCCUACAGGACAAUGCACGCCCGCAUACCGCACAUCUCACGACACGCACCUUACAGGAACUUGGCUGGGUGUUGCUACCACGUCCCCCUCACAGUCCAGACCUCGCCCCCAGCGAUUUCCAUCUCUUCGGGUCACUGAAGGCGUUCCUUGGGGGCCGCCACUUCAGCUGCGACGACGAGGUCAAGAAUGCGGUCCAAUCACGGCUGCUACGCGCCGGUGCGACUCAUUCAAGAGAUCAGAAGAUGCCGAUCGUUGCCCGCCUUUUAGCAAGAUUGAGUGGUUCUGCAGCCGGACAUGCUGCCUGGCGAAUCAUUAUUAUGAUGAGUGCAGCACUUGCAAUCAACGAACUUUUACUAGAGGAACAUGUAUCUGCUAUCAUUUAUUUGAUAUGCUUGUGGAUAUCUUCUAAAGUCGAAGCAUUUUUGUUUCCUUUGAUUGUUGCUCGCUGCCCGUGGCUUAGGAGUUUUGACACACAUGUUGAGUUUUUUGAUUACUGGCUAAGCUUCGUGGCCACAUAUGUGGCCAUGGUGAGAUAUAUAAUAUUAAUUAUACGCCUACUGAGUCCCAAUAGUGAGUCUCUUAAUCACCACCUAGGGUUCGUGGCCAAUUACGUGGACUUUGUGGGAAAUUUGAUAUCCACUGUACGCCACUUCACUAGCGAAUAGAGUCGAGGCGAGAAGAUGUCUUUGACGCAUGAAUGACUGAGAAACACUGGUCUACGCUAUCUUCUGUUCAAAAUGUCCCAGCCGUAUGAAAACUUCAUGAAAGAUUCAGUGAACAUCGCUGACUAGUACGUUUACAAAUCUCUCGAGCGAUCGGCAACCAUCAGAUAACAUUGGUUUCCAAACAUUCCUCGGGUUCCGGCCAUACUCGUGAUAAAAUUUGUAUUGUUGUUUUCUGCUCCAGAUUCCAUAUCUCAUACUCAAGGAGACGGAAAGAAAGUCACCUUAUCCACUAUCUUAACACCAUCACAUAACGAAGGGGCCUCAGUGGAAGUCUGGUAUUGGGAUUGUAAUCACUUGUCGACUAAUGUUACACAUGCUGCUCGAAUUUCCACAUUCACGUGUGGCCUGUCACAAUGUGACAAAUAUCUCUGUGUGGACAGUGUGCACUUUUCUCAUAACUGUAAUUAAGCUUGAUAUGUGAAGCGUUAGCCAUGUUGGUAAGCACGGACCAAAUGAGUACCCACCGUGAGAACGCAAGGGGUGUUCCAUUGAGUGAAAGUCGAUGGUGUCAUUGCUUGUGUACAAGUAGAACAAAGAUAGGAUCGAUAGUGCAGGGUGCUGCAUGAGGACUGAAUUGGUUUCGACGGAUCGUAAGAAGUGAAAAGUGUAGAUCAAGCUAUCAAAGACCCCUUUCGAGGAGAACUCUUUGAGGCAACCUCCAGAGAACACCCUGCUUCUGCGAGAUCCAUGUUCCAUGUGUUUAACUUUUCGUUUUAGUACGAGUUAUUUGAUUUUACAAAGCAUAUGAACCAGCUUAUUGUGUGUUUGAGUUGCGUAGCGUAGCGUAUGUCUAUGUGCUAUUGUGGAUUACAGUGUGCAUCAUUUCAGCUUGUAUGGGUAUUGUGUGCAGUAAAGAGUAAAUUGAAUGUUCUCGUUUGUUACAACAACGUUUACUCGCCGUCAA